UACGUAGGGGGCAAGCGUUGUCCGGAUUUAUUGGGCGUAAAGAGCGUGUAGGCGGCCAAACAGGUCAGCUGUGAAAACUCGAGGCUCAACCUCGAGACGUCGGUUGAAACCGUUUGGCUAGAGUCCGGAAGAGGAGAGUGGAAUUCCCGGUGUAGCGGUGAAAUGCGCAGAUAUCGGGAAGAACACCCGUGGCGAAGGCGGGUCUCUGGGCCAUUACUGACGCUGAGGAGCGAAAGCGUGGGGAGCGAACAGG
rnacentral:rRNA from 1 species